UACGUAGGAGGCGAGCGUUGUCCGGAAUUACUGGGCGUAAAGGGCGCGUAGGCGGCCUGGUGAGCGUGCUGUGAAAGCCCCCGGCUCAACUGGGGAGGGACGGUGCGGACUGCCCGGCUCACACGAGUGUCGGAGAGGGACGUGGAAUUCCCGGAGUAGUGGUGAAAUACGUAGAUCCCGGGAGGAACACCAGUGGCGAAGGCGGCGUCCUGGCCGAUAACUGACGCUGAGGCGCGAAAGCGUGGGGAGCGAACGG
rnacentral:rRNA from 1 species